ACGGGGAUAAUUUAAUAGAGACCUCAAAGUCAUAUCUGAUUGUCCUCCAGUCAUAUAUUGUCCUUUUGAGUCUGCCUACUCAGUGUCCUGUGUCUGCCCAUUCUGUUACUGGAAAUCUUUAUUCUUUUUCUUCAGUGAAUAUCUUUUCCAUAUGUUUAAGGUUUUUUUUUUUUUGAUACCUUAUUCCUCUUAGACGUUGUAGUUGGAACAUGUUGAAUUUAUUCCCACAGGUGUCUAUAGAUGUAACCUAUUCUGCCUGUGCUCCCAACACUUAGCUUUUAACAGCAGGCUUCUCUGCAAGGCUUGGUCCUGCUGCUACAGCUGAGAGGUGCAGCUCUGCCUCUCUCUGCUCCUAUAUUACAGACCUUCAGCGGAUGGUAGUCAGUUAAGUGCUUCUCACUUAUCUCUGGGACUCUAGCAUUUGACGUACACUCUGGCCUAACUGGUGCUGUAUAAAUAGUAGCUAUUUAUUAGAAAAGGGGGAUAAUUAUAAAAUCAUAUUUGAGGAUAUAGUUUUUAAUGGGAAAGGUGCUUCACCCUGCAGGAAAAGUAAUGAUGCCAAGAUAACCUGUCCUGUGAGACAUACUUCUCUUCUGGUCGACUGCUGCUCUUCCUCCUCCUCUUCUUCCCCCUCCUCCUUCUUCUUCCUCUUUCCUCCUCCUUCAAAAAACUAUACAGACACUGGCACAUGCUUCAUGGUAGAGCAUGGCCCUGUGUUUGAUACCCAGAAUUGCAACAACAACAACAAAAUUAUAAAACAAAAGUAUAAAAACUACCCUGAGGCUCUUUGAUACCCAAAGCUGUUCUCUUGGAAAUCGUAGUACCACCAGUAUAGUAUCAGGUAGAAAUCCUGCCUCUGUAUGGAAGGUUAUAUCCUACAUACCCCAGCGGUACCCCUUGACAGUUUACCAUGCAUAGACAUGUAAGUAGCCUGUAUUCAUAACAUUUUUGUAACUGUAUAUUGUACAAUGUACCCUGUUCCAUGUAGAAAAUAAGAGGGGAAUGGUAUUCAACUUUUGUUCUCAAAGAUAUGUUUCUUUUCUUAUGAAGAAUCACAUAUAUAGUCAACCACAGAAACAUGGACAAACUUUAAGGUAUAAUUUGAAGAAUUUUUGAUUAUAUUAAAACAAUGCAACCACUAUGCUUGGGACCCCAGAAGUUCUCCGCACCUCCAAACCACUGUUCUGAUUUUUGAGAGCCUGCUGACUUCCUAUCCUUUUCUUUUGCUAAUUAGUUCUCCAUUUGGAAAACCUUAGUGUAGAGUAAGUCAGUUUGUUUUACUAUGCUGUGUCGUGUUUCCACAGUCUCAGAAAAACUAUAUUUUUGUGGAGAGACUUAAAAUUGGUGAUCCAGGUUGUCUAAUUGUACCAUAUCAAGUUUUAAUCAUAAGUUGGAAUAUUGAAAGUUUACCAUAAGCUGUCAGACAGCAUGCAACAAGAUAAAGAAGAGAGACUGAUUUUAGUCAGUUAGCCUAAAUGGACCUGCUGGUCUUCAGAAACUCAGGCAGAAAAUCACAAGUUUAAGGCCUGCACAGUCUGCAGAGUGACUUCAAGGGAACAACUUUGUGAGCUCCUAUCUCAAAAUAUAAAGUGGAAAAAAGGGCGUCCUGAGCUAUAGUUCAGUGAUAGAGCACCUAGCAUGUACAGCUAAAGACUCGGUGCCUAACUCCAAAGAACUAAAAACCUGGCCUUCCUACUUCCUAGGGUGUGGUUUGUGCUAAGAAAUGUCUGAAUAGAAACACCGAGUUAAAGAUUGUGUUUCUCAUGGGCCCUGAUUAGUCUAUUAUCCAAACAUUCUUAACCACUUGAUACCCAGAGAGAAAAAUCACAGGGUGGAUAAACACUUUGGGAGACCUAUGAGAAAAGCAGGUUUCUCUUUAGACAAACGUCUUUAAGUUGCCCCAUAUGGACCUGGCUCUCUCCGAGGACACUUUCUUAUCAAGGGAAGUCAGUUACUGGCUUUACUUUUGGUAUUUUGUGACUUGAUUUCUUUGUGUAAGUUGAGAGUCUUUGGGAGUACUUUAACUCCUGUGACGUUGCCACUGCAGGGUUUCAGGUCUGUUCAGAGGUUGGAUGUGCACGGAAGAGGAUAGAAUGCUUUUGUGUCUAGGAAUGGAAAGCCCACGCUAUUCUUGGAAGCCCAGCAGUGGGCCAUAGGCAUGAAGGUGCCACCCAAGUCUAUCCAGUUUCAUCCCUUGAAUAUUUAAGCCGAACAUCAUGGCAGAAUUUAAACCUCAAGGUCAACAGUGGAUGAGAUCAAAUCUCAAAAGUGAUCAGGUCUGAUUGUUUUCAUGUCUGUAGAAAGGCCGAAACCCACGCAUGUCCUCAUCAUCUUUUGUCUUUUUGGUUGGCUUUGGGGAGGUUGGGUUUGGUUUGGUUUGGUUUGGUUUGGUUUGGUUUGGUUUGGUUUGGUUUGGUUUGGUUUGGUUUUUUUCCCAAACAGGGUUUCUCCGUGUUGCCCUGGCUGUCCUGGAACUCAUGGAAGUCUGCUUCUGCCUCCCAGACUUUAUUUAUUUUUUUUAGCUUUCAGAACUUUAAAGAAUCACAAACAAGCCAGGUGGCACUAACACACUCCUUUAAAACCAGCACCCAGGGGGCAGAGGCAGGCAGAUUUCUGUUAGUUUGGGCUGGACACUUACUCUGUAGUAAGUGUCAGGCCAGAUGGGGAUACACAGAGAAAACUUGUCUCAAAAAACAACAAACCCAAAAACAAACCAAUACAACAACAAAAGAAUCACAAACAAAAUAAAAAGAAAUGUUGACUCCUCAACAAAUUGAGUUUUUAGCAGCUUUAUAAUUUUUGGUAAAAUACCAAAUUUACCUAUGGUAAUUUUUUUCUAAGCUUCUUUAGCCAAAAUGUAACUUCUCAUGAGCUGGAGUAAAGUAAGGCUGAGGCAUCUUGGGAUAACUAUGACUUCACUGCUCUUAGUGAAGCAGCCAUAGUGAUAUAUCCUGUAGCUCCAAUACUUGGAAGGAUGAGGCAGGAGGGAUGCUUGAGGGAGACCUCAGCUAGUCAGUCACCAGAGAACUUUAAAACACUAUUGGCUAUGGUUAAUAGACCCCUACAAAACAGGGGAAUCUUUGCUGUUGUUUUGACCUUAAAUUGAAUAUUGACCUGCCUCUCCCUUCUGAGUACUAGGAUUGUAGGCAUAUGUCACCACACCUCACCUAAUGUAAAAUAUUUAGAUUUCAGAGAGGAGGGGAGCAUCAUGCUGGGAUUGAACCCAGGGUCUCAUACAAGUUAUGGUUGGUGUUAGCUCUCUACCACUAAGUUGUCUGCAUUUCAAACUGAUUUUAUAUGCUUGAUGAUGAAUGAAUUUCAAGGCUCUGAUGAAAUUAUUUUUUUUUAAGUUCUCAAGAUACUGGUACUUAAGAAGUUAAGCUUUGUAUCAAGAUGAAAUAUUUUUUUAAUGUCAAGAUGCCUUUUAUUAUAUAGCAUAUUGUGUUACUUUUGUAAUAUCUUUGUAUACUGUGAUUUUUGUUGAUGUAAUAAAUAGACCAUUUUCUAAAAA
rnacentral:lncRNA from 1 species